ACGUCUUUUACAUUUACACUUAUUUUUAUAACAUUUUUUAAGUACCGACCAUUAAAGAAGGAAUUUUGUAUGCUAUUGCAGAACUUGAUAAGUUUACUUGUGUAAGAUUUGUUCCUAGAAACCUUGAAUAUGAUAAUGAUUUUGUUCGAUUCACUUCAACUAAAGAAGGAUGCAGUUCUUCAGUUGGUCGACAAGGUGGAAUGCAAUACGUUCAACUUGGAAACGGCUGUCAGCGUAUAGGCACAGUUCUUCAUGAGAUGAUGCAUGCAAUUGGAUUUAUACAUGAACAGUCAAGAUCAGACCGUAAUAAUUACGUCGACGUGAAGUUUGAUAACAUUAUUACAAGUUUAAUUGGCAACUUCUACAUGUAUUCGUUUGGAAAUAUCAAUAACUUAAAUGUUCCUUAUAAUUAUUGGGUUA
rnacentral:lncRNA from 1 species